rnacentral:rRNA from 1 species
AACGAACGCUGGCGGCAUGCCUAACACAUGCAAGUCGAACGAAGUCUUCGGACUUAGUGGCGCACGGGUGCGUAACGCGUGGGAAUCUGCCCUUGGGUACGGAAUAACUCAGAGAAAUUUGUGCUAAUACCGUAUGAUGACGUAAGUCCAAAGAUUUAUCGCCCAGGGAUGAGCCCGCGUAGGAUUAGCUAGUUGGUGAGGUAAAGGCUCACCAAGGCGACGAUCCUUAGCUGGUCUGAGAGGAUGAUCAGCCACACUGGGACUGAGACACGGCCCAGACUCCUACGGGAGGCAGCAGUGGGGAAUAUUGGACAAUGGGCGAAAGCCUGAUCCAGCAAUGCCGCGUGAGUGAUGGAGGCCCUAGGGUUGUAAAGCUCUUUUACCCGGGAAGAUAAUGACUGUACCGGGAGAAUAAGCCCCGGCUAACUCCGUGCCAGCCGCCGCCGUAA